AUGGCGUCCGUGGCGGCGGUGGAUUCCUGCCGUCCACUCAAUCCCGCGCUCGAUCUCCUAGCCCCUCCUCUCCUGCGCUCGUUUCCCUGCUGCCUCUCUCAUGAAGAAGAAGGGGUGGUUCUCGGCACAGGCUGGGCUGGCACCUCCUUCCUCAAGAACCUCGACUCCUCCCGCUACGAGGUGAAGGUCAUCUCGCCCCGCAACUGCUUCGCGUUCACGCCGCUGCUCCCCAGCGUCACCUGCGGCACCGUGGAGGCGCGCAGCGCCGUCGAGCCGAUACAGAGGAUGUUCGAGAAGAAUGGGAAGGAUGUCGCGUAUUAUGAAGCAGAGUGCUUGAAGAUCAAUCUGACGAAGAAAGCCGUCCACUGCCGCUCUGCCGUCGGCACUAAUUUGGAUGGGAAUGGCGAUUUCAUGCUUGAUUAUGAUUACUUGGUUGUCGCUCUUGGAGCUGCUGUCAAUACAUUUAACACUCCUGGCGUGAUGGAGCAUUGCCACUUUCUGAAGGUUUGA
rnacentral:rRNA from 1 species